rnacentral:rRNA from 1 species
GAUGAACGCUGGCGGCGUGCCUAAUACAUGCAAGUCGAGCGAACGGACGAGAAGCUUGCUUCUCUUAUGUUAGCGGCGGACGGGUGAGUAACACGUGGAUAACCUACCUAUAAGACUGGGAUAACUUCGUGAAACCGGAGCUAAUACCGGAUAAUAUUUUGAACCGCUUGGUUCAAAAGUGAAAGACGGUCUUGCUGUCACUUAUAGAUGGAUCCGCGCUGCAUUAGCUAGUUGGUAAGGUAACGGCUUACCAAGGCAACGAUGCAUAGCCGAACUGAGAGGGUGAUCGGCCACACUGGAACGGAGACAAGGUCCAGACUCCUAAGGGAGGCAGCAGUAGGGAAUCUUCCGCAAUGGGCGAAAGCCUGACGGAGCAACGCCGCGUGAGUGAUGAAGGUCUUCGGAUCGUAAAACUCUGUUAUUAGGGAAGAACAUAUGUGUAAGUAACUGUGCACAUCUUGACGGUACCUAAUCAGAAAGCCACGGCUAACUACGUG